CCUACGGGUGGCAGCAGUGGGGAAUAUUGGACAAUGGGCGAAAGCCUGAUCCAGCCAUGCCGCGUGUGUGAAGAAGGCCUUCGGGUUGUAAAGCACUUUCAGUGGGGAAGAAAGCCUUGGGGCUAAUACCCUCGAGGAAGGACAUCACCCACAGAAGAAGCACCGGCUGAACUCCGUGCCAGCAGCCGCGGUAAUACGGAGGGUGCGAGCGUUAAUCGGAAUUACUGGGCGUAAAGCGCGCGUAGGCGGUCUGAUAAGCCGGUUGUGAAAGCCCCGGGCUCAACCUGGGAACGGCAUCCGGAACUGUCAGGCUAGAGUGCAGGAGAGGAAGGUAGAAUUCCCGGUGUAGCGGUGAAAUGCGUAGAGAUCGGGAGGAAUACCAGUGGCGAAGGCGGCCUUCUGGACUGACACUGACGCUGAGGUGCGAAAGCGUGGGUAGCAAACAGGAUUAGAUACCCUUGUAGUC
rnacentral:rRNA from 1 species